rnacentral:lncRNA from 1 species
CCGCCGUCCUCCACUUCUUGGGAUUUUUUCUCACCGUCGUUCAUCUUCCGUCUUCUUCACUCUCACGCAGGAGUCAUCUUCACGCUAUUUCUUGCAGACGCGAAUAGAGAGCGAGGUGGUGCUCGCUCGUUUGCCCUGAGCAAACGAGAGAUGAUUCCGACAGCGAACGCGCGAAGUGAAGGAGUCUGACCGAGAGAGAGGGAAAAUCUGUCCGUGAGCGAACAGAUCUGGUGGGUCCUCUGCGUGCGAUGUUUUGGGUUCUCCGCGUGUUAGCGUUUUUGGUUCUCUGCGUGCUAACGAUUUUGGGUUCUCCGCGUGUUAGCGUUUUGGGUUCUCCGCGUGCUAGAGUUUUUGGGUUCUCCGCGUGCGGUUCGUCUGACAGAGGAGCGAGCACCGUUUUCCUCUAAGCGAAGCAAACGUCAUGGGUUUUCUAGGACAAGCAGCGAGCGAGCGCCUUGGGUUUCUACGAGCAGGCGGGGUCUCCGCGAGCGAGUGAGUCUGGUGGGUUCUCCGCGAGCGUCUGACAGAAGAGCGAGCACCGGAGUGUCCGCGAGCGAGUGCCAGAGUGUCCGCGAGCGAGCGCUUGAGCGGCCGUGGUUUCACGUCUUUGACUGCAAGCGACAGAUCGACCUUUUUCCGCGAACACCAGAUUCCUCAUACAGCUAACAGAAGAUGAGAGGAAGCCUCGCUAUUGAUUACUAACUUACAAGUCGAGAAUUAGCAUGUCAUAUUUAUUCCAUACAUUCUAUCUACUCUUAGUUGCUUAUUUAAUCGUUUUUUUUAUUGUAACUUGUAAUCUCUUUAUCUUAUUUUAUCUAAAUCGCCU